UAUACAAAUACAUUUAGUUUGAAAAGGUUAAUAAAAUACUUAGGCUGGAGCUUAGGUUUUAAAAAUUAUGUCAGUGGCAUCAGUUAUGAGAAUAAUUAUUAUGAUGAUACUUUUCAGAUUUUAUCAAGGAGAGCGGAUCAUUUAUAAGUUGACUCAUAGGUUCUGUUCCUAUUUCCCUUUUAAUCGUGUACUUAUGGCCUUCAUUUCAUUUCCUGCUACAUAACAUCACAAUUACCUUCACAUAUCAUAUAUUAUCGGGAGAGAUUCCUCUUGGUGAUCUCCAUUCCCUCAUAAUGGCUUUUGGAGCUGGAAGCAUCUUAGACCUUAUCAGGUUAUACUCCUUUUCAUUCCAAGGGGAUAAGAUCUAUCAGAGGUAAGUUUCUAUCCAAAGUCAUACCACUAGUGGGUGACAUGGCUGGAAAUAGAUAGAGAUCUAAACUCUAAAUCUCUACUACAAUAUGCUAUUGCUUUAUGAAACUCGGGUCUAUAACUGGGUGUAUCAUUAGAACACAGAUCUUCUAGGAUUCUCUCAUCAUUAAGGAGAAAAGAAGCCACACAUGUAUAGUAAUCCAGCACUUAGUUUAGGGUUAAACUACUGGGAAAUUCAAUACUCCAGAACAUACCUGUCAAGCUGACAACUGAUACAAAUUCCCUGAAUUUGAAUUCCUUUGACAAUAUCUGUAUUCCUUCAUUCAGUGACUUAAUAAAACUUCUUUUAAUAACUAA